rnacentral:misc_RNA from 1 species
GACGUAGGGGGCGAGCGUUGUCCGGAUUCAUUGGGCGUAAAGGGCGAGUAGGUGGCUCGGCAAGUCGGAUGUGAAAACUCCGGCUCAACCUGGAGACGCCAUCCGAUACUGCUGUGGCUAGAGUCCGGUAGGGGCCUGUGGAAUAUCCGGUGUAGCGGUGAAAUGCGCAGAUAUCGGAUGGAACACCAGUAGCGAAGGCGGCAGGCUGGGCCGGAACUGACACUGAGGCGCGAAAGCGUGGGGAGCGAACAGG